CCCCGUGCCUGUGUCACAAAGGCCACCCCAGCACCCCUCCAACAGCCCGAGUCACCGGGAGCGGCCUGGAGCAGCCCCGGUCUUGGGGGAUUGCUGCCCCUUCUUCUGAGCCGCUCCUUCAAAUGAUCAGGAGCGGCUGGGGCCGAGUGAAGAUCACUCCAAUAUAUCUCUCUAGUGCACCACUAACUGUGAAGACCUUAAUGUGGAAUAUGUUUGCAGUUUUGGGUGCUGCCCUCAGGAAUGAGGUGAAACCAACGUCUUUGGAAACUUUGGAAGGAACAAAUGAAAGGAUUAGGCUCCUGAAAAAGGAAUGUUGAGUUCCAAAGGUCUUUAAUUCCACCUUCUGCUGAGCAAGAACUGAGUGUGGUGUUGCACUAA